rnacentral:rRNA from 1 species
UACGUAGGGUGCGAGCGUUAAUCGGAAUUACUGGGCGUAAAGCGUGCGCAGGCGGUUUUGUAAGCCAGAUGUGAAAGCCCCGGGCUUAACCUGGGAAUGGCAUUGAGGACUGUGUGGCUUGAGUGCGGCAGAGGGAGGUGGAAUUCCACGUGUAGCAGUGAAAUGCGUAGAGAUGUGGAGGAACACCGAUGGCGAAGGCAGCCUCCUGGGCCGACACUGACGCUGAGGGCACGAAAGCGUGGGGAGCAAACAGG